rnacentral:misc_RNA from 1 species
AACGCACAUUGCGCCCGCCAGCAUUCUGGCGGGCAUGCCUGUUCGAGCGUCAUUUCAACCCUCAAGCCCAGCUUGGUGUUGGGGCCCUACGGUCGACGUAGGCCCUUAAAGGUAGUGGCGGACCCUCCCGGAGCCUCCUUUGCGUAGUAACUUAACGUCUCGCACUGGGAUCCGGAGGGACUCUUGCCGUAAAACCCCCAAAACUUUUACAGGUUGACCUCGGAUCAGGUAGGAAUACCCGCUGAACUUAA